CAGCAGCCGCGGUAAUACGGAAGGUCCAGGUGUUAUCCGGAUUUAUUGGGUUUAAAGGGAGCGUAGGCCGCAGGUUAAGUGUGUUGUGAAAAGCAGUCGCCCAACGUCUGCCUUGCAGCGCAAACUGUCCUGCUUGAGUGCGCACAACGCAGGCGGAAUUCGUCGUGUAGCGGUGAAAUGCUUAGAUAUGACGAAGAACUCCGAUUGCGAAGGCAGCUUGCGGGAGCGCAACUGACGCUGAAGCUCGAAAGUGCGGGUAUCGAACAGGAUUAGAUACCCCAGUAGUCCCUGUCUCUUAUAC
rnacentral:rRNA from 1 species